UUAGCUGUUGAUGCUGAUGAAGAUUAUGAUGAUGAUGAUGAUGAUGACGGGAGGAUGAAAAAGUAAUAAAAAAUAGUUUACAGCCGUCAAUAUUCUAGAGUAAAUAAUAUUCAGUGAAAAUUAUAAAUUUUCUCCUGUUUGAAGGUAAAAAAUAGUGUACGCGGAUACAUGCUGUAUCUUCUAUCUAGUGUGUAGGCAUGCUGUUGCUGGUUGCUGCUGGCUAGUGGCUGCUGGUGAAGUAUAUACGUACAGCCAAUUUUAGCAGUUAUUAUACAUCGUUAUAAAUACAUACAUUUAUAUCUGCAUUAUUUGGAGAUAAAGUUUCAGAAAUAUAUUAUUAAAGAGACAUUAUAAUAAAAAGAGUGGGAGAAAGUGGGUAAAAGUAUCAUAUGAGCCAAAGAAGAAAAGGGUUUUUCAAUAUACAAAAGUUCCAACAUUACAGUAAUCCUUCGCGAUGUUACACCAAACAAAGCUGGCAAUGAGUAGUAGGAAAUAACCAUGUUGGUAUCCAAGCGUUUCUAAAUGAAAUGUAUGCUCAGGGCGGAAGCGCGACACAGUAAUAUAUACGAUACGCAAAGUGAAAGCAGGAGCACCAGCAACAGCAGCAGCAAGAGAAGAGAGCAGAGAGCGGCGAAUGAUUUUGGCUCUCUUCCAGAGCUAUAAGCCGGUUUUCUGGUGAAAUUAUUGAGACCAAUAUUGCACUUGAGAGUAUAUAUACUCUUAUAAUACAAAUUUUUACACGUUAUAAAAGAUGUGUUCGGAGAACCUGAAAAUUAACCAAUAAAAAUAAAAUAAAAUAAAAUAAACGAAGGAAUUCAAGAAAGAGAGAGUGAUGAUGAGUUACGUUUGUCUAUCUGUAUUUUAUUAAAUUGAAAUAAUGAGUUAUGAGUUUGUUUUUGUUGCAGACUUAAAAAAAGAUUGGAUGCUCGAGAAGUGAGCGAGGAUUCCGAGUAGAGCAAUUAGACGGAUCGUACAUAAGUACGAAGAUACGCAUUGAUAAAAAUGAGAGUAAGUAUAAGUAUAAUGAAUAAGAAAUGAAAUACGAUGGUGCUCGCGCGCAGAGCUGUUGAGAGUGAAUAACGACGUGUUGGGGUGGUGAGAGUAGGCCAAUGUCAGUGUCAAUACGCCGCAGAGCUUGGCUAGUUAGCCUCUCUGGCGCGCGCGACAAACUUGAUCGUGAAAACAGAAAAACGACAGCGUACAUGGAGUCGCCGAUUACGUUCAUUCGCUCAACAAUUUUAUUUAUAGAACCUUGUAAUUCAUUGUAUAUAUAUAUAUACACAUAUGUGAGAUUUUGCAUUCAUACUAAUUUCUUUUAUUAAAUAUGUAUAUGUAUAUUAAUAUAUUCGAUUAUUUAAUCUCGUUAUAUAUGUAAUACAAUUUUUUUAUUAUUAUGCUAUGGAUGAUGUAAUUUUUUUUUAUAACACUACUGUGUCAGAAGUGAGAUAAGCACUUGCUAAUUUUAAUCACCAUCGUAACCGCCUCCAUCAUUUUAUUUGCGAUGUACUUUAAAUUACAAUUAUUUAAGACAGGAGCAUGUGUAUAAUUUAUAUUAUCAUUAUUGUCAAAUAAUAAAAUUUGUUAUCGAAUGUUAACAAAUAAAAUAAUGGAAGAAUGAGAAUAUAUUGUAAAGAAGUAAAAGUUUAAAUAUACCUUUACUUAUUGUAAUUAUCAUAUUAAUGUUAUGUAAAAAAAUAUAAAAUUUUCACUCGGUAUUAAAAAAAAA